rnacentral:rRNA from 1 species
CCUACGGGGGGCAGCAGUGAGGAAUAUUGGUCAAUGGCCGGAAGGCUGAACCAGCCAUGCCGCGUGAAGGUCAGUGCCCUAUGGGCGUUAAACUUCUUUUGUGCGGGAGCAAUACUGGUCACGUGUGGCCAGACGAGAGUACCGUACGAAUAAGCAUCGGCUAACUCCGUGCCAGCAGCCGCGGUAAUACGGGGGAUGCAAGCGUUAUCCGGAUUUAUUGGGUUUAAAGGGUGCGUAGGCUGUGAGGUAAGUCAGCGGUGAAAUGCCCCCGCUCAACGGGGUGAAGUGCCAUUGAUACUGCCUGGCUGGAAUGCGGAUGCCGUGGGAGGAAUGUGUGGUGUAGCGGUGAAAUGCAUAGAUAUCACACAGAACACCGAUUGCGAAGGCAUCUCACGAAGCCGCGAUUGACGCUGAUGCACGAAAGCGUGGGUAUCAAACAGGAUUAGAUACCCUUGUAGUC